rnacentral:misc_RNA from 1 species
AAGUCGUAACAAGGUUUCCGUAGGUGAACCUGCGGAAGGAUCAUUAUUGAAUAAAUCUGGCGUGAGGUUGUAGCUGGCUCUCUCUGGAGCAUGUGCACACCUUCGUCACCUUUAUCUUUCCACCUGUGCACACACUGUAGUCCUGGAUACCUCUCGCCGCAAGGCGGAUGCAGAGCCUGCUGUGACUUUGGCAACAAAGACCAGUCUUGCUCUGAAUUUCCAGGGUCUACGAUCUUUACACACCCCUAAACGAAUGUCAUAGAAUGUAUAUCACUGGGCCUUUGUGCCUAUAAACCUUAUACAACUUUCAACAACGGAUCUCUUGGCUCUC